GAGACGGGGUUAAGAUGGCGGAAUAGAAGGACUGGAGCUCACCUUCUCUCCUAAAAACAACAAAAUUACAGCCAAAUGCUGAGCAAUCGUCAACCAAAUGGACCAGAAGCUUUCAAAAAGAUAUCCUACUCCAGAAGACAAAGAGGAGGCCACAUCAAGAGGAAGAGCUACUCAUUGACAACCUACCAGGUUCACUGCCUCUGAUGGAUGAUCACAUUCAGCCUCACAACAGCACUGAGAAUGGGAUAUUAUCAUCACGUUGAAUGUAAGAACAAUGAAACUUAGGGUGUUCAAGCAACUCGCCCCAAGUCACCUGGGGGUAAGUGGCAGAGCUGAAAUUUAAAUGGAAGUUUCUUUAAUGUCAGCGCCUGCGAUGAUCUUUCUACUGCAAGAUACUCACCAGAGAACACUGCUUUCCCUGACGAACACUGACAGUAAAUGACUAAUCAAAUGGGACCAAUUCAUUUCAGAUCAACACAUAUUUUUAGAGCACCCAGUAUGUGCCUAGUGCUGUGAGAGAUGAGAAAAGGUUGUCAUCCUGAUCCUUGGCCUCAGUUUAUUGUUUCUUUGAGGAUGUAAGAGAGGAAGGUUGAUGGGAGUAUGCAGUAUGACCCCAGCAGCUCCCAGAACCACUGGCAGUCUUAAGAGUCAGGGCUGCUCUAAAGGGAAACACCUCGGACUGAGUGGUUUAUACAACAGACUUAUUUCUCACAGCUCUGGUGCCUGGGAAGUCCAUGAUGGAAGAGUUGGCAGAUUUCAUGUCUGGUGGGAACGGCUUCCUGGCUCAUAGAUGGUCAUCUUCUGUGUGCUCGCAUGGUGGAAGGGGCAGGGGGACUCUCUGGGGUCUCUUUUAACUCAUCUCACUGAUGAAGGCUCCGCAUGCGUGACCUGAUCAUUUCCCAAAGACCCCACCUCCCAAGCCCAUCACAUUGGAAGGGAGGAUUUCGAGCUAUGCGUUUUGAGGAUUUCAACUUUUUGAGUUUUCAGUUUGUAACAGACAGAUGUGUGGUUAAAAUAUCUUCCAAAAAGGGCUGAGGAACUGUUGGAGAUUCUGGCAGAGUCGGGAGAGCUGCUGCGGGUGGCAGGAAACGGCUAGUCCCUGGUGGUGUGGAGUUAUUCCAGAUGCCCAGGCGCCAGCGCAGGUGGCCCUUCCCUGGGAGGUCUUCUGCGUCCCAGGUCCAUGCUUCCUGCGUCCCUCACUGCUCUGUCACUGGCACUUUGCUUGUCUGUUGCUUUGCUAGCUAUGAGCUCCUUGAGGGUCAGGCUGGAUCUUCCUUCUCUGCUAUCCUCUCUCCAGAGCACACUGCCUGCGUCUUAUUCCCACUGGCUUAUGGGGAGGUAUGGACAUCUGUAUUGCUGGCUGGAUUGCUGUGCUCCAGACUGGUGCUUUGGGCAUGUGUUCCUGUCCACUUCCUGGCAGAGGCCUCACAAGUGCCAGAUCUUGGAGGAAAGGGGCGUUGGACAGGUCCUGAGCUUUCCUUACAGCCCUGCUUCCUCCUGCUCCUUCAGCCAGGGGUCUUGGGAUGUACUGUGAGCAUUGUCCCCACCGGUGCCCCGUCAUGCUUGCUUCCCCGACCAGCCAGAGAGCUCCUACCCUGGGAGGCUCCUUGCAGUAGUCUUAUUUGGCAAUAUCUCUGGGGCUGUCAGAGUUACAGACUUCAGUGUGGUUCAAAAGCAGCAAGUAGGAAUAUAAGCUAAAGUUCACGGCCAGCCUUCAGUUCUCAGGAUAACUGUUUUCUUUUGCACAUCGACUCUUUCCUUCUCCUCCUCCACUUUGAUAACUCUUCCUGCCCUUUUGAGCUCAGCAUGAAUCUCCUUCCAUUGGGAAGCCUUUGUACCCUUAGGUACCCCCUCUGUGGGCCUCUCUCAUCAUAACUGCCUUCAUACUAUGGAUGAAUUGUUCAGCUGUUUUUCUCCACUGGCAGUCAUCUUGAGCUGUAAUUAGUUUAUCAGGUGAGUUUAUCAUCUCUGGGGCUUUGGAGGAUAAGGAGAGACCUUUCACAGAACUGAUGGCUUUUGAUGGAGAACUAUAGGCAGUAGAAGGGAAAAGUGCCCCAGUGGGGGUCUCUGGGCUUGAUAGCAGGGGGGUAGCUUUCUGAGUAAGACCUAGGAGGAGAGGCUGGAAAGAUGGAAUGCAACAAUGGAAAACUUGACUCGCUUGAAAAUUUGUUCAUGAGCCAGUCCUGAAAUCAAAUAUGAUCUCAUCAAAGCUUUCCCUCUUGAUCAUAGCCAUAUAUUCAUGUGUGUGUGUGAGAAUGUAUGCGUGCGUGCGUGUGUGUGUGUGUGUGUGUAUGUUUCAGACUACAAAGUGGUGUCAUACAGGGUUUUGGCAGCCUUGUGUGUUAAGCACAACAGAGUCCCUCUCAUUUAUUAAUGAGGAGGAGGCUAGGGUUUGAGGAGUGACCUUCCCAAGGCCUACAGUCUUGACCUACACCCCAGGCCUUCUGACGCACAUGGCAGCUGGUCUGUUCCCUUUUCAUGCCUUGAAGCUGAAAGGUCUUCAGAUACCUCAGCGAUGACUCUUUGCCUCCACCUCUUUUCUGAAAGAGUUCAACACACCUUACUGUCUGGAACUUUACCAUGAAGGUUUGCAAUGGUAUUCAAUGGUAGGAUCAUGCAGUUUUUUCGUUGUUGUUGUUGUUUUUUGUUUUUUUUGUUUUUGUUUUUGUUUUUGUUUUUUUACCAUGGGAUAAUAUGGCAAAAACCCACCCUGAGAAAGGUGAUGAAAAGUAGGAAAUCAAGACCAAGGGAAGCGAAUAAAACGGGGUUGUGAUGAUCAUUGUACAACUAUACAUGUAAUAAAAUUCAUUGAGUAAUUAAAAAAAUAAACCAACCCUAAAAAAAUAAAGAAUAAAAAUAUGCUUCACAAAAAAAAAAAAAAAAAAAAAAAA
rnacentral:lncRNA from 1 species